UACGUAGGGUGCGAGCGUUUGUCCGGAUUUAUUGGGCGUAAAGAGCUCGUAGGCGGUUUGUCGCGUCGGCCGUGAAAUCUCCACGCUUAACGUGGAGCGUGCGGUCGAUACGGGCAGACUUGAGUUCGGUAGGGGAGACUGGAAUUCCUGGUGUAGCGGUGAAAUGCGCAGAUAUCAGGAGGAACACCGAUGGCGAAGGCAGGUCUCUGGGCCACUACUGACGCUGAGAAGCGAAAGCAUGGGGAGCGAACAGG
rnacentral:rRNA from 1 species